UACGGAGGAUCCAAGCGUUAUCCGGAUUUAUUGGGUUUAAAGGGAGCGUAGGUGGAAGCCUAAGUCAGUUGUGAAAGUUUGCGGCUCAACCGUAAAAUUGCAGUUGAUACUGGGUUUCUUGAGUACAGUAGAGGUGGGCGGAAUUCGUGGUGUAGCGGUGAAAUGCUUAGAUAUCACGAAGAACUCCAAUUGCGAAGGCAGCUCACUAGACUGCAACUGACACUGAUGCUCGAAAGUGUGGGUAUCAAACAGGAUUAGAUACCCCGUACGU
rnacentral:rRNA from 1 species